AGUAUCCAGAAUGCCCUUUAUGCCAGCAGGAAACCUGGAGGAGACUUUCUUUUCUUCCUUUUUUUUUUUUUUUAGUAGGCUUGGCAGAAACAUUUUUUUUUUUCAAGAGAGAGAGAAAAAAAAAUCAAAUUUAAGGACUGUGGAAAAAUAACUUUCUGUGCUCUUAGGUACCAGAAUCGACCAUUUGUCAGAACCAAAUGUCUGCUAAAGUGUGAAAAAUUGUUGGAAGGCAUUUUCUAAAUUUUGUUAUUGUGGUUCUAUCAAUUCAUUUCCAUGAGCCCUCUCAUUUGUGUCUGUUGGCUGUCCAGGCCAGGCUGGCCAGCUGAGAAGUGGAUCUACUGUCUUUUAUUCUCAAGGUCCUGACAUUUAUCUGAUGGUUGGAAAGGUGGCUAUGCUGUAGUGGAGAGAGCUCAGAGUAUGAAAGUUUUAAGACCUGGUUUUGGAUCUCACCAUCAUCACUUCCAGGCUUCAAGAUCUCAGGAGAAGUUCUUAAAUUCCUGGGACUUACCUUGUCCCUGAACUUGUUACUUAUUUCUGAUGAAUGGGUUAUGACCAAAGAUGGCUCCAUAUUGUGCUACAAAUUUACCCAACCACUGAUAAAAAUAUGACCUUUUUAUGACCAUUCCAAGGAACACGGCAGUCUGUACCUUGCUGGAAGCCUCGCGUAUUUAACCUCCCUCGUCCAUGUCGUCCCAAUGAGCAUUUUCUACCUGCUGGGUCCCUCAUUAACGCGCAAUAAACAUCGACACAAGUUCGGAUGA